AUUGAACGCUGGCGGCAGGCUUAACACAUGCAAGUCGAGCGGGGAAAGGUAGCUUGCUACCUGACCUAGCGGCGGACGGGUGAGUAAUGCUUAGGAAUCUGCCUAUUAGUGGGGGACAACAUCUCGAAAGGGAUGCUAAUACCGCAUACGUCCUACGGGAGAAAGCAGGGGACCUUCGGGCCUUGCGCUAAUAGAUGAGCCUAAGUCGGAUUAGCUAGUUGGUGGGGUAAAGGCCUACCAAGGCGACGAUCUGUAGCGGGUCUGAGAGGAUGAUCCGCCACACUGGGACUGAGACACGGCCCAGACUCCUACGGGAGGCAGCAGUGGGGAAUAUUGGACAAUGGGGGGAACCCUGAUCCAGCCAUGCCGCGUGUGUGAAGAAGGCCUUUUGGUUGUAAAGCACUUUAAGCGAGGAGGGGGCUACCGAGAUUAAUACUCUUGGAUAGUGGACGUUACUCGCAGAAUAAGCACCGGCUAACUCUGUG
rnacentral:rRNA from 1 species